rnacentral:rRNA from 1 species
GCGUAAUAGCUCACUGAUCGAGUCGUCCUGCGCGGAAGAUGUAACGGGGCUAAGCCAGUUACCGAAGCUGCGGAUGCACAGUUUACUGUGCGUGGUAGGAGAGCGUUCUGUAAGCCUGUGAAGGUGUCUGGUAACGGAUGCUGGAGGUAUCAGAAGUGCGAAUGCUGACAUGAGUAGCGUUAAAGCGGGUGAAAAGCCCGCUCGCCGUAAGCGCAAGGUUUUCUACGCAACGUUCAUCGGCGUAGAGUAAGUCGGCCCCUAAGGUGAGGCAGAGAUGCGUAACUGAUGGGAAACGGGUCAAUAUUCCCGUACCGAUGUGUAGUGCGAUGUGGGGACGAAGAAGGUUAGCUCAGCCAACUGUUGGAUAUGUUGGUUCAAGCCUGUAGUCGUGCUCGGUAGGCAAAUCCGCCGGGCUAAGAUGAGGGGUGAUAACGGGUCUGCUUGCAGACGAAGUGAGUGAUACCCAGCUUCCAGGAAAAGCCACUAAGCUUCAGCUACACACGACCGUACCGCAAACCGACACUGGUGCGCGAGAUGAGUAUUCUAAGGCGCUUGAGAGAACUCAGGAGAAGGAACUCGGCAAAUUGAUACCGUAACUUCGGGAGAAGGUAUGCCCCAAGUAAGUGAAGUUGUACAAAUGGAGCUAAACGGGGUUGCAAAAAAUCGGUGGCUGCGACUGUUUAAUAAAAACACAGCACUCUGCAAACACGAAAGUGGACGUAUAGGGUGUGACGCCUGCCCGGUGCUGGAAGAUUAAAUGAUGGGGUGCAAGCUCUUGAUUGAAGUCCCAGUAAACGGCGGCCGUAACUAUAACGGUCCUAAGGUAGCGAAAUUCCUUGUCGGGUAAGUUCCGACCUGCACGAAUGGCGUAACGAUGGCCACACUGUCUCCUCCUGAGACUCAGCGAAGUUGAAAUGUUUGUGAUGAUGCAAUCUCCCCGCGGAAAGACGGAAAGACCCCAUGAACCUUUACUGUAGCUUUGUAUUGGACUUUGAACAGAUCUGUGUAGGAUAGGUGGGAGGCUUUGAAGUGAGGUCGCUAGAUCUCAUGGAGCCAACGUUGAAAUACCACCCUGGUGUGUUUGAGGUUCUAACCUAGGUCCAUUAUCUGGAUCGGGGACAGUGCAUGGUAGGCAGUUUGACUGGGGCGGUCUCCUCCCAAAGCGUAACGGAGGAGUUCGAAGGUACGCUAGUUACGGUCGGACAUCGUGACGAUAGUGCAAUGGCAUAAGCGUGCUUAACUGCGAGACUGACAAGUCGAGCAGAUGCGAAAGCAGGACAUAGUGAUCCGGUGGUUCUGUAUGGAAGGGCCAUCGCUCAACGGAUAAAAGGUACUCUGGGGAUAACAGGCUGAUACCGCCCAAGAGUUCAUAUCGACGGCGGUGUUUGGCACCUCGAUGUCGGCUCAUCUCAUCCUGGGGCUGUAGUCGGUCCCAAGGGUAUGGCUGUUCGCCAUUUAAAGAGGUACGUGAGCUGGGUUUAAAACGUCGUGAGACAGUUUGGUCCCUAUCUUCCGUGGGCGCUGCAGAUUUGAGGAAGCCUGCUCCUAGUACGAGAGGACCGGAGUGGACACACCUCUGGUGUAUCGGUUGUCACGCCAGUGGCAUUGCCGAGUAGCUAUGUGUGGAAGAGAUAACCGCUGAAAGCAUCUAAGCGGGAAACUCGUUCCAAGAUGAGAUCUGCCGGGGGCUUGACCCCCCUGAAGAGUCGUUCUAGACCAGGACGUUGAUAGGUUGGGUGUGGAAGCGCAGCAAUGCGUUAAGCUAACCAAUACUAAUUGCUCGUGCGGCUUGACC